GCUGUAGAUUCUUGCUCCUUAAUUUUCUGUCUUCAGUUGAUAGAAUGAAUCUAGAAGUAUUGGCAAUAAUAUCUGAUGUUAGUUGAGAUUUUUUCAGCCUUUUCAGUUUGCUCAUUUUUUGAAUCAGAUUUCAACACAAAGAAGCUUCUGUAGCUUCAAUUUCUGCAUUUCUUUAUCUUAUUUCCUUUUAAGCAACAGGGCAUAAGAAAUUGCAGAAAAGGAAAUAAGAUAAAGAAAUG
rnacentral:misc_RNA from 1 species